UGAGGAAUAUUGGUCAAUGGACGCAAGUCUGAACCAGCCAUGCCGCGUGCAGGAUGACGGCUCUAUGAGUUGUAAACUGCUUUUGUACGAGGGUAAAUGCAGAUACGUGUAUCUGUCUGAAAGUAUCGUACGAAUAAGGAUCGGCUAACUCCGUGCCAGCAGCCGCGGUAAUACGGAGGAUUCAAGCGUUAUCCGGAUUUAUUGGGUUUAAAGGGUGCGUAGGCGGUUUGAUAAGUUAGAGGUGAAAUUUCGGGGCUCAACCCUGAACGUGCCUCUAAUACUGUUGAGCUAGAGAGUAGUUGCGGUAGGCGGAAUGUAUGGUGUAGCGGUGAAAUGCUUAGAGAUCAUACAGAACACCGAUUGCGAAGGCAGCUUACCAAACUAUAUCUGACGUUGAGGCACGAAAGCGUGGGGAGCAAACAGGAUUAGAUACCCUGGUAGUCCACGCAGUAAACGAUGAUAACUCGUUGUCGGCGAUACACAGUCGGUGACUAAGCGAAAGCGAUAAGUUAUCCACCUGGGGAGUACGUUCGCAAGAAUGAAACUCAAAGGAAUUGACGGGGGCCCGCACAAGCGGAGGAACAUGUGGUUUAAUUCGAUGAUACGCGAGGAACCUUACCCGGGCUUGAAAGUUAGCGACGAUUCUUGAAAGAGGAUUUCCCUUCGGGGCGCGAAACUAGGUGCUGCAUGGUUGUCGUCAGCUCGUGCCGUGAGGUGUCGGGUUAAGUCCCAUAACGAGCGCAACCCCUACCGUUAGUUGCCAUCAGGUGAAGCUGGGCACUCUGGCGGGACUGCCGGUGUAAGCCGAGAGGAAGGUGGGGAUGACGUCAAAUCAGCACGGCCCUUACGUCCGGGGCUACACACGUGUUACAAUGGUAGGUACAGAGGGCAGCUACCCAGCGAUGGGAUGCGAAUCUCGAAAGCCUAUCUCAGUUCGGAUUGGAGGCUGAAACCCGCCUCCAUGAAGUUGGAAUUGCUAGUAAUCGCGGAUCAGCAUGCCGCGGUGAAUACGUUCCC
rnacentral:rRNA from 1 species